ACAUGCCUACAACAUAGCAUUAAUGCAAUGAAUCCCAUUAGAACUUCGCAAUUAAGUGGGCUCGGGAUAGAGUAGUACUGGGAUGGGUGACCUCUGGGGAAGUCCUAGUGUUUUACAUGCC
rnacentral:rRNA from 1 species